GGCGUCACCUAAUGUCCAUCUCCAAUGUGCAUUUCUUUUUCCUCCCUUUUUUCAACCAUUUCAUUUCGUCGCAUCGCAGAAACGGAAAUUGCUACGGAAGAACCAACAAACUGCAUUCCGCUGCACUGCGGAAUCGGAGAUGGUGCAGCCAGCCUCUUUCGCUGAUAUGUUGCUGCAUUGCACUACGUCGUCGUUGCUGCCGCAUCGAGAAGAAGUAUCUAAACAUAUACCGUGUGCACUCUUGAGAGAGACAGAGAGACUAAUAUUUAUUUAAACAUAGAAAAAAAGACUAGAAAAAAAAACUAAAUGAAUAGAAAACAACUUACGGAGUCCCGUGCCGGGAUGCUUCGGCGAGGGAAGGGAAUUCUACUGGCGCCUCUCGAUAGACGUAGAACAAACAGUUUUUUUGUUCGUUCUAUACCACACACGCCCACGUAUGACAUGUACACACCGUAUAUAAUAAUUAUGACGUAGAGAAAUUCAGCAGAUUUGCAGCAUCAUCAUCGUGGAAGAUAGCGAUAAAAAUUAUCAUUGUUUGCUAAUGAAAUAUGAAUCGAAAUGAAAUUACAAUAUGGGUUGUGCUCUACUGGUGAUACGGAUGAAUAUCAUUUAAUGGGAUCGACAAAAAUCGUGGCGGCGUUGCAGUUCUGGUCGCGCCACGCCAUCAGGUUCAAAUUGGCACCUCGAGAUCGAGAUAAGAAGAAAAAGGUACACGAGGAGACUCGGAUCACGGCGAUGCAUUGUCUCGUGGUAGUUUCUUUUCGGAUGAAAGAAAAAAAAAGGAUCGGUUUUUUGCUUUACAUUCAAAAGAAGAGAAAAGGAGAAAGAAUAAAGCGCGACGUAUAGAAACACGAAUCGCAACAGGGAUCGUCAGUUUUUCAAGUGUUUGAGCGCGAAUUUACGAUCACUCGGUCGCUGGCUGUACCGUGGCGCGGAUGGGCAUAAACGACAAAGGAUUUAUUUUUGUUUAAAAGAAAAACAGAAAAAAGAAAAAAAAAAAAGGUAACACGAUAAAAAUAAAACUGAAAUAAGUAAGGAAAAGUAGAGAAAAAAGUAAAACCAAAAAAGUGGACAACAAUGGGAGGGAAUUCGGGGCCUGGCGGCAUCAAGAAAUUUCAUCUAUUCAGUCCGAAAUAAAUUCAAAGGGGGAGGACGGAGGGCAGGGGAACGGGGGGGCGCUACAAAAGGAGAGAAGAAAAUAACCGUAGAGACGAGGGUUUCAUUUCGAGAUUCAAAGCCAAAGGCCAUAAGGUGGUGGUGGAUACGAUCCUUCGACGGGUACAAAGCCACAAAAGCACCACCACCAUCGGAAAUCCCUGUGGCCGCGCUGGGGCCGGACCCCGACGGUCCCCGACGCAGUGGCGACGUUGGCUACACGGGACUUCAUGGAUCGUUCUAACUCGGCGUAGCUGCCUCACGAUCCUGAUCCUUAUUCCUUAUUUCUCGGGUCAGAACCGGCCGGCUUAUUUCCCUCUUGUAUAUAACGUCGUCUUGGGUCCUCUAUUCAGCCACAUGACGAGAUAGGGGCGACUCCAGUUCCGCGAGAACCCCGAGACUCGUUUUAAAAACUUGUGGGCACCGUCAGAUCGACGUUAAAAAAUAUGUUUAAAGAUUACGUUGAAAAUAAAUAAUGUAUAGGGAUGGAAUGCGCCUAUGUUGUCAACGCGGUUAGAUCGGUCCGCGGAUAUUACGUCAUCGCGUAUAAUAAAUAUACACAACGUUGCAUAUAUGGUUAUACGUUUCGAUGAUUCAUAUUCAUAAAUCGUGAAUUUUCACGCUAAUCUGAGGAUAUUUCAUAGUUCAAGAUCGUUUUCAUCAGCUAUACACGAAUUUGAUGGGCCAACGCUUCGAAGUUUCUCUUCCAUUACACGGCCGAGGAUAUUCCCAACUAUACACGUUAUAGAAGAAAUGCGAAUAUAAUCGGAUAGAGUUUUACUCGAAACAUUACUGAACUAUUCUACUCUCGGGUUAUCGCUUUCUCGCCUCGAUCUGAAUGAAACUUGCAACUAAUACAAGCUGGGCAUUGUACACGUGUACUAUAAUAUACGACGUCUGGAGUGGAUCGGUGCACGGUGCAAAGCAAAUCGGGUACUUCGAUUCCGGUUUAAACACACUUCGUAUCGGAAACUUGUUGAGAUAAGAUAUGAUCGCUGUGUGCGGUUACACGUGUGUGUAUACGUGUACCGUGUAAAAUGAGUUCCAGGAUAUUCCGACUGGUUGCACACUCGUCAUAUAGGUUGUAUCGACACCGAUAAUGCACAAACGCGAUCUCUGGCCGCUGAGGCGAUUCUGGAUACGAUUUUUCAUUUUUUUAUCGAAUAAUUUCUACCGUGCGACGCGACAUCGCGAGCGGAUGAUUUACGUUUUUUUUCUCAGGGUUCUGGGGCGGGUGUGUUCGUUCCUGGAGUUAGGCGAGGCAGAAGGAGAGCCCGUAUAACAAAGAUCCAUCGAGACCGGUUUCGUGUUCUGCCCUUUUUUCCUUCUUCUCCAAGAAGCCCCGCCGUGCGUCGGGUGUGAAAACCGACACCCACCCACUUGUUAUUUUGUCAAACACAAGCUCUCAAAAUUAUAGGAAUCAUGCUCGUGGAGUUGAUCCCGCGAGUAGGUAAGUGGUCAGGUGUAUACCUAUGUAUCCGGCAAAUUACGUUCGAUUGUACGCUUUUAAGAACGUUUUAUACAACUGUUAAUUAAAUUUUAUUAUUUGUCGCAGGACGCGCGACCAGAAAACUAUACCAACGCGAUUUUACAUUAGCUGGAGUGCAUGCACACCGCAUGAACGUGAAUACGUGGAGAUGCAAAUCAUUAAGUUAUUUCAAAGUCGUUAUAGAUUCAUUAUCAUUAUCGUGAAAAGCUAUAUAAAUUGAAAAGAAAAAAAUCGUUUCAUUCCAUUUACUUAACGUCCACCGAUAAGAUCCCCAUAAAUAAGGAGAACAACGAAAACAACAUGCAAAUAUUUAUGAUAUAUUAUUCCGUUGAAACUUUGAAAAGGAAAUGGAGAUAUUAAUUUUUCCCCAAUAACAACCGUGAGUUUCUUAAAAAUAUUAUUUCCCCUCACGAAAGGUAGAACGACCUAUUAUUACGUUGACUUGUAUACCUAUAUCUGUUUUAAGUAUGAUAUGAAAACCUGAAACUUUAGGCGUAACUACAGGCUACGGGUCCCCUUAAUCGAGGCGAGGGUGUUAGCUCGUCGUACGAUUGGAAGAGGCAUUAACUAAUUGAAAGAUUAGCGAGAUCAAUUGUAAAUUAUUACCAAGUUAAGUAGGUAUAAAUGGGGCUCGUAGAGAUCUCGUUCCAACAAUAAUAUAAGUCCGUUGCUCGCGAGGAUAUACCUAGAGGUACGUGCGUUGCGGAUAUAUCGUGUAGUACACGUACCUACUACGUAGAAAAAUAUUCUCAUUUACCGCGACCGGAGCAUUAAAUUUUCAAAGACGUUUUAACGGUCGUAAAAAAUUUCCCAGCGGUCCGCAAAGAUUCCCGGUUUAUAUUCCGCGGCAGUUUCGACGAGAAUAAAAAUUAAUAAAAGAUAAAAUAACGCCCGACACCCUACGGCGGAUUUGAUCACUCCAGCGGUGUUAAUCUGGUUGUAUUUUUAUUUCAUCGGACGUAUAAUGUUUAUAAAGAAAAAAACUAAAAGAAAAUAUACGCCUCGGCCGUAACGAUCGCCGCGGCUUGAGCUUCGGAGGUGCGAGUUCUAAAUUAUACUUUCUUUCGAAAUCCGGUGGCCGUUUUUGCCCCGCGUCCUCCCGCUUGUCACAACCGAAGGGAUGGGACGCGAGGUCCGCGGCGCCGCGGCGGGUCGGGUCCAAUCUUCUUUGGAGAUCGGUAGCUGGUGGCUACAGGCUGAUCUUAUUGUUCUUAUGGCGUGAAACGUUUCAACGGUAGCCGCGCAGCAUCGGCAGAUCUCACAGUUCGUCGUUUCGAGCGACGCGUGAUCUCUGCGGGGCCCGACGUUACACGUUAUUAUGGCGGGCAUGCGGCGCUCUAGAGUAGUCGCUCCAUGGUUCUUCGCCUAAGUAACGAUUAUUUUUAAACAUCAAACGUACGAGAUAUCGAAACGCUGGACGGUUCAUGUCGCCUAUAGCAAUGUGAAAUGAAAAGUAACACCGUGAAACGCGCGGCUGGAUAUAUCUAUACGAGACGCUGAUAAUAUCGAGAUCGGAAAUAAUAAUUUUUAUCACCGUGCAGCGAUAGGUGUCGACUUCGGAGAAGAGAAAAAAAAAAAAACCGGACCGCACAAAUUUUCAGAACUCAAACGCUGCGUUUGAUUGUUUGAUUUGCACUCGAGAGGAAUAUGAAUGAAAAAUAAUAAAACGAGUCGAAUAAAUAAAAGAUCACACCGAGAGCGUCCUCGACUUCCAAUCGGGUUUCAAAGGUAGCUCCAGGUAUUUUUGAGAUUCACCAAAAAUAUCAAAAAAACAUUCUCGGGGUUCGCCAAUGUUGAUUCGGCGGUAAAAAAAAAAAAAAAACUGUUUGCGGACCUGCAGGAAAACCAAAAUUUUUAUUUCACGUACCGCAAACUCUUGAAAACCGUAUGCGCAUAAGUAAGGAUAAAAUGUAUUUUCAUAAACUCGUCGUGUGCGUUUUAUAUUCUUACGAAACAUUAAAUAAAUUCCAGCUGCGCACCGUAAAUAAUAAUAAAAAAGAAAAAACCAGAUAGAAAAGAUUUUUAUACAUACGGAGUAUUUGCGAUGCGCCUAUCUUUCGAACCAGAGUAAACUUUUGGUUUCGUAAUUUCGCAGUACGUUAUAAAGAAUUCACCUUUGCGGCGCGUCGAAGAGAAGAUGACUUUUUUUUAUUUAUUUUCUUCUUCCUUUUAUCUUUAAGUUUCUUUACGUAUGCGUAAUUUUCUUUUUUUAUUAUUUAUUUAUUUUUUUGUGACGGACGAGCGAGUGCCACGUGUUGCCUAAAGAUAUAGAUGGUAUUAUAUAGAAGUAGAUAUAUGCCAUUCGUAUACAUAUAUAAUUGUAGGCGGAUGUUAUGUGGGCAAAUAUCUACGUAUCGUGAAAAUUUCCAAACCAUACAGAUCCUAUCUUUUUCUCUAUUAUAUUAUACCCAUUAAACGUGAAUUAAUUAUAUGUAUAUUACAUAUGUGCCGAAUUUGCAUUUACGAAAAUGAAGAAAUAAGUAAGCAAAAAAUGAACAAAAAUAAGGUGAAGAUGAAAUCAAUCUUCCGAGAAUCGAGAGAUUUAUAUUUUUGAAUGCUAUAUGUGUAAGAAACGAAUGAAAAGUUGUAGUAUAUUCUUUUGAAAGUCAACUUGCACGCCCGAUUAUCUUAUGUGGAUAGUACGUAUAGUAUAACGGGAUUUCUAAAUCUUAAGGUGUGCGCUUCGAUGAUGUACGUAGAUACUCGAAUGCACAUAUGUAAAAUAGGUUUAUCUGUAUAGUCGCAAAAUUAACAUGUGUUAACUAUUAACGCUGCCCACGCUAUAACAUUCGUUUCUUGGAAUUUCCGGCAAAACCGGAAUUUCGUUUAUUAAAUGUGUAUAUCUAUAGAUCCAUUUCUAUGGGUGAACCUCACAGGUGUCUGAAUCUUGUGUGGGUUGCCGGAUAAUAAAUGACUUCAAGAAAUGCAUAUCACAAGAUGCAAGGAGUUUCACGUUUUGAAAUCGCGUAUAAUUUUAUUACAAGUUCGAUAAGACGAUAGCAUAAUUUACUGUACACCUCAGCGAUGUUCAAUUAGUCGAAUGAAUGCUUACCGCAAUUUAUUUAUAAGUGUUUUAUCUUAAUCGCGCGCCGCGAAUCGAAUUUUAGUUGGGAGUCUUAAAGAUUCGCUCGCGGUCAAACCGGAAAUGAUUAUUAUCUAUAAUGAUACGGAAUAGGACGAGAAAAACGGCGAUGAAAAAGAAUCGUAUAUAUUUCGAAGCGUUACCUCGUAUAAACCUGUAGGUAAUUUGGGGAAAUUACCCACAGUUCCGCAACUUUCAAGAUUACGAAAUAUGGCAUAGUAUACACGUAAUUUUUUUAACGCCAAAGAACGCAGAUUAUGGUAUACCCGUACAGCGUGAAGUUCUGCCGCCGAUCCAGAGCGUUUUUAUUUUAUUACAUAGUCGCGAUGCUUUUUAUCUAUUCAUUUCAGUUUUUGUUCAACAUUUUUUAAUUAAAAACGCUAUUCGGGCGUCAAUCUCGAUGACGAAUGACUCCGGAGGCCCCUCAAUUUCGAAGGUGCGGUGUGACCAAUUGAAUAGAGAAAUUUAAACGGUCCUACCCGCUCGAAUGGAAAACGACCAGCGAUUCG